rnacentral:rRNA from 1 species
AAUGAACGCUGGCGGCAUGCCUAACACAUGCAAGUCGAACGAGACCUUCGGGUCUUUUGGCGCACGGGUGCGUAACGCGUGGGAACCUGCCCUUAGGUUUGGAAUAACUCCCCGAAAGGGGUGCUAAUACCGGAUCAUGUCUUCGGACCAAAGAUUUAUCGCCUUUGGAUGGGCCCGCGUUGGAUUAGCUAGUUGGUAGGGUAAAAGCAUACCAAGGCGACGAUUCAUAGCUGGUCUGUGAGGAUGCUCAGCCACACUGGGACUGAGACACGGCCGAGACUCCUACGAGAGGCAGCAGAGGGGGAUAGUGGACAAUGGGCGGAAGCCUGAUCCAGCAAUGCCGCGUGAGUGAUGAAGGCCUUAGAGUUGUAAAGCUCUUUUACCCGGGAUGAUAAUGACAGUACCGGGAGAAUAAGCGCCGGCUAACUCCGUG